GACGAACGCUGGCGGCGUGCCUAAUACAUGCAAGUCGAGCGGAAGUUGGAGAGCUUGCUCUUCAACUUUAGCGGCGGACGGGUGAGUAACACGUGGGCAACCUGCCCUGCAGAUCGGGAUAACUCCGGGAAACCGGUGCUAAUACCGAAUAGUUUUCGCCACCUCCUGGUGGCGUACGGAAAGACGGUUUCGGCUGUCACUGCAGGAUGGGCCCGGGGCGCAUUAGCUGGUUGGUGGGGUAACGGCCCACAAAGGCAACGAUGCGUAGCCGACCUGAGAGGGUGAUCGGCCACACUGAGACUGAGACACGGACCAGACUCCUACGGUAGGCAGGAGGAGGGAAUCUUCCGCAAUGGACGAAAGUCUGACGGAGCAACGCCGCGUGAGUGACGAAGGUUUUCGGAUCGUAAAACUCUGUUGUGAGGGAAGAACAAGUACCAACUAACUACUGGUACCUUGACGGUACCUCACCAGAAAGCCACGGCUAACUACGUGCCAGCCGCCGCCGUAA
rnacentral:rRNA from 1 species